CCGCCCGCGCCUCCUCCGUCUCAUCUCCCUCCCGCGAUUCCCACCGCCGCCACCCCCACCCCAACCCACCACUGCCGACCACGUCUCCGCCACGCACCCUCUCCCCUUUCCUUCAUCCCGCAGAUCCACCAGUCUAGGCACGGUCACCACUUCACCACCCACGCCGGCGGAUUGCGGCAAGUCCAUGCAGCGCCCAUGGGGCGGACCCCACAACGGCGGCAAAAGCGACCGCGCCACCACUUCCCCUUCCCCGCCGCCUUUGCCCGCCCUGCAAGCUUCCUCCUCCUCCCCUCUCACCCAAGCCACCACCUGUCUAGAUCUCCCCAAUCUCGCCCCCGCACAUCCAGAUCUUGAGGCGGCUUAGGUGAGGCAGCGCAACCCGCUCCGUCCCGGAACCCCGUGGACUGUGGUGGUGGCGGCAGCGCCCGACCAGCCGGCAGCGGGAUGGCAUACGUGGACCACGCCUCUCCAUCACCAACGAGGACGAGGACGACCUGGUGGGCGACGCGGUGGGGGGACGACCCCGCGGCACGCCGUUCAAGGAGAUUACCUUCGCCGUCGUGCUCCUCGCGUUUGGCGCACUCGGCAUCGUCGCCGGCCUCGUCAUGGCCGCCCACUGUGUCUGCGGUGACCACUCCCACGCAAAUACCGAGUUGUAGUAGAACAACUUGGAGUUAGAAAACUUCAAGGACAAGAUCAACGAGGUGACCGGCGUUAUGGCGGCUGUGUAUGGCGGCGACCAGAAGUUCUCCGGAGCUCUAUGCAAAAGAAGCUCCACGUAAAAGCAGAUUGAAAGGAGGUCCAUGUUGAAGAAGAUUGACAGGAGUGGUAGAGCUUGUAAUACUAUAUUACUGUGAUUGCCAUUGUAUUUCUGUUGUAUGAUGUAUCUGUGUUUACCUAAAAAAAUGUAUCCGUGUUGUAAUACUGUUAUUGCCAUUCUAGUUAUUAUUUCAAACAUUGUUUUUUGU